GGACUACAGGGGUAUCUAAUCCUGUUCGCUCCCCACGCUUUCGCGUCUCAGCGUCAGUACCGUCCCAGAGAGCCGCCUUCGCCACGGGUGUUCUUCCCGAUAUCUGCGCAUUUCACCGCUACACCGGGAAUUCCACUCUCCUCUUCCGGACUCUAGCCACACAGUUUCCACCGACAGCUCGAGGUUGAGCCUCGAGUUUUCACAGCGGACUUGUGAAGCCGCCUACACGCUCUUUACGCCCAAUAAAUCCGGACAACGCUUGCCCCCUACGUAUUACCGCGGCGGCUGGCAC
rnacentral:rRNA from 1 species